rnacentral:rRNA from 1 species
AUGGCCUGGGAACCUGUGUGUUCUUUCUGUAAUGAGAUAGAAACUUCUCAGCAUCUGUUCUUUACCUGUCCAGUCGCCAGGGUGGUGUGGCGAUCUAUUGGGGUGGUUCUUGGUACUGAUAAGUGUCCUGAUAACUACUGGCAAUUCUUUGCUUGGUGCUAUUCCUUUCUUCCAGGAGGGGAAAAAUUCUAUACGGUUGGACUUGCAGCCACUUGCUGGGCAAUCUGGCUCGCUCGCAAUAAGGCUACUUUUGAGAAAAAAGCAGAUUAA